rnacentral:rRNA from 1 species
AGAGUUUGAUCCUGGCUCAGGAUGAACGCUGGCGGCGUGCUUAACACAUGCAAGUCGAACGAAGCAUUUAGAACGGAUUACUUCGGUUUGAAGUUCUUUAUGACUGAGUGGCGGACGGGUGAGUAACGCGUGGGUAACCUGCCUUGUACUGGGGGAUAGCAGCUGGAAACGGCUGGUAAUACCGCAUAAGCGCACAAUGUUGCAUGACAUGGUGUGAAAAACUCCGGUGGUAUAAGAUGGACCCGCGUCUGAUUAGCUAGUUGGUGAGAUAACAGCCCACCAAGGCGACGAUCAGUAGCCGACCUGAGAGGGUGACCGGCCACAUUGGGACUGAGACACGGCCCAAACUCCUACGGGAGGCAGCAGUGGGGAAUAUUGCACAAUGGGGGAAACCCUGAUGCAGCGACGCCGCGUGAGCGAAGAAGUAUUUCGGUAUGUAAAGCUCUAUCAGCAGGGAAGAUAAUGACGGUACCUGACUAAGAAGCCCCGGCUAACUACGUGCCAGCAGCCGCGGUAAUACGUAGGGGGCAAGCGUUAUCCGGAUUUACUGGGUGUAAAGGGAGCGUAGACGGCAAGGCAAGUCUGAUGUGAAAACCCAGGGCUUAACCCUGGGACUGCAUUGGAAACUGUCUGGCUCGAGUGCCGGAGAGGUAAGCGGAAUUCCUAGUGUAGCGGUGAAAUGCGUAGAUAUUAGGAAGAACACCAGUGGCGAAGGCGGCUUACUGGACGGUAACUGACGUUGAGGCUCGAAAGCGUGGGGAGCAAACAGGAUUAGAUACCCUGGUAGUCCACGCCGUAAACGAU